rnacentral:rRNA from 1 species
UGGGGAAUAUUGCACAAUGGGCGCAAGCCUGAUGCAGCCAUGCCGCGUGUAUGAAGAAGGCCUUCGGGUUGUAAAGUACUUUCAGCGGGGAGGAAGGCGAUAAGGUUAAUAACCUUGUCGAUUGACGUUACCCGCAGAAGAAGCACCGGCUAACUCCGUGCCAGCAGCCGCGGUAAUACGGAGGGUGCAAGCGUUAAUCGGAAUUACUGGGCGUAAAGCGCACGCAGGCGGUCUGUCAAGUCGGAUGUGAAAUCCCCGGGCUCAACCUGUGAACUGCAUUCGAAACUGGCAGGCUAGAGUCUUGUAGAGGGGGGUAGAAUUCCAGGUGUAGCGGUGAAAUGCGUAGAGAUCUGGAGGAAUACCGGUGGCGAAGGCGGCCCCCUGGACAAAGACUGACGCUCAGGUGCGAAAGCGUGGGGAGCAAACA